rnacentral:rRNA from 1 species
GUGCCAGCAGCCGCGGUAAUACGGAGGAUGCAAGCGUUAUCCGGAAUGAUUGGGCGUAAAGCGUCCGCAGGUGGCAGUUCAAGUCUGCAGUCAAAGGUCGGGGCUCAACCCCGGAAAGGCUGUGGAAACUGAACAGCUAGAGUACGGUAGGGGCAGAGGGAAUUCCCAGUGUAGCGGUGAAAUGCGUAGAGAUUGGGAAGAACACCGGUGGCGAAAGCGCUCUGCUAGGCCGAAACUGACACUGAGGGACGAAAGCUAGGGGAGCGAAAGGGAUUAGAUACCCCUGUAGUCCUAGCUGUAAACGAUGGAGACUAGGUGUGGCCUGUAUCGACCCGGGCCGUGCCGGAGCUAACGCGUUAAGUCUCCCGCCUGGGGAGUACGCACGCAAGUGUGAAACUCAAAGGAAUUGACGGGG